UACAUGCAAGUCGGACGGGAUCAGGGAGCUUGCUCCCUGUGAGAGUGGCGCACGGGUGCGUAACACGUAUGUAACCUACCUUUAUCAGGGGGAUAGCCUCUCGAAAGAGAGAUUAACACCGCAUAACAUCACGAUACAGCAUUGUAAUGUGAUCAAAUAUUUAUAGGAUAAAGAUGGGCAUGCGGGACAUUAGCUAGUUGGCGGGGUAACGGCCCACCAAGGCGACGAUGUCUAGGGGAUCUGAGAGGAUGACCCCCCACACUGGUACUGAGACACGGACCAGACUCCUACGGGAGGCAGCAGUAAGGAAUAUUGGUCAAUGGACGCAAGUCUGAACCAGCCAUGCCGCGUGCAGGAAGACGGCCCUACGGGUUGUAAACUGCUUUUGUACCGGAAUAAACCUUUUCACGUGUGAGAAGCUGAAUGUACGGUAAGAAUAAGGAUCGGCUAACUCCGUGCCAGCAGCCGCGGUAAUACGGAGGAUCCAAGCGUUAUCCGGAUUUAUUGGGUUUAAAGGGUGCGUAGGUGGCCUGGUAAGUCAGGGGUGAAAGACGGCAGCUUAACUGUCGCAGUGCCUUUGAUACUGCCGGGCUUGAAUACAGUUGAAGUGGGCGGAAUGUGACAAGUAGCGGUGAAAUGCAUAGAUAUGUCACAGAACACCGAUCGCGAAGGCAGCUCACUAAAGUGUGAUUGACACUGA
rnacentral:rRNA from 1 species